GAAACCCAGGAAGUCAGCUUGGGGGUGGUGGCCUCAUCUAGGCCACAAACCCACCUGAGCCCUAGACCCUGAGCUAUACCCCCUGAGGGUCUGGGGUCUUCUCUGCUGGCUCCAGACGGGAGCCGGACACCAGUCCAAAAUGUCCACAGAGAAGAGCUGAUUCAUGUUACAAAAAGUGGAUAGCACCCCCAAGCAACAUCCUGAGUGGAAAAAGUCAGACCCAGCAGCCCACAUGUUGUACGAUUCUGUAUAUACGAAACGUCCAGAACAGGCUUCCCUGGUGGCUCAGUGGUAAAGAAUCCACCUGGCAAUACAGGAGACAUGGGUUUGAUCCCUGUGUCAGGAAGACCUGCUGGAGAACGAAAUGGGAACCCACUCGAGUAUUCUUGUCUGGGAAAUUCCAUGGACAGAGGAGCCUGGCGGACUAUAGUCCAUAGGGUUGCAAAUUGUCGGACACAACUUAGCGACUAAGCAACAACCACCACCUAUAUUUCUAUGUGCUCAGUCUGGCUACCAUAACUUGGUGGAUCUUACAGUACCACACAGACGAUUAGCCAGGUCACCUCCAACCUGAGAAUGUACAGUCAUGUCAGGUGGAACAUUAGGGUAAACGAAGGAACCUGCGGCUGCAGAGACAGUGGGAGUUCCAGGGAAAGAGAGAAUGCAGAUGCCACCUUGGGACUUCAGGCUUUUUCCAGCCUCCCUUUCCCUUCUACAAACUCAGGUUGAACAAUUACCAUCAGAUACCUAUGAGGGGAGGUCUUCAUGAAGCAUUUAGUUGGGUGCUCAGUUGACACUCAGCAAAGGCAGUCAUCAUCAAAAAAGAAACUGACAACUAUGGUGGUUGCUUAUUCUUCUAAAUAAAGUUUUAUUGGGACAAGGGCCAGGAUUGGAGUAAGGCAAGCAGUCGGGGUUGUGCAAGGGCAGAGUCUGAUCCUGUAUUUAAAAUGUUGCUGUCUAGUUCAUCAUGCGUUUUUGCGUGAGCUUUGAUUCUUUACACUAUUGUUUUUAAAAUGUUGUGUAUCUUAAGGA
ensembl:lncRNA